GGCGUUAUAGCUCAGUUGGCUAGAUCAUUGGCUGUACUAAAGCCUUCCCAUGGCUGGUGUGGGUUCGAAUCCCAUCGAUGCCG
rnacentral:tRNA from 1 species